UCCAUUGCACCACCUAACUCCUUAAUCAGGAUGAGAGUGCAUGGAUGGGUGGUGCCCUUCAUUGCUUCAGUGUUGAACUCACAAAUUGAAGGGAAAGAGUGAAGAAAAGCUUCCAAACAAAUAGAGCUGUCUGAAAAUGGAAUAAGGAAGAUGAUGCCCACCACUUUCUGCACACUGACGUUCACCACUGCUGGAGAGAAAGAGCACGGGGUCUGCGUUCUACCUGGUUGGCAAGAGAACAAGACCCCAGAAAUCUCCCCCCUCAACUCUUCCCCAUAACCAUCAGCUUUCCCUGUUCCUGGUUCCUCAGCUUGCAGGGGCAAGCAAGUAAAGAAGAGUUUCUCUAAGUCAGGCGCUCCCUCUGCCGGCAAAACCCUCAGAACUGUCAUUCGCAGGACUCCCUGGCUCAUUGAGCAUCUUUUACUUACACCCCUCCCAGGGCCCUUUGGGACCCAUCCCAUCUCUUUCUGUCCAUCUUUUUCCAUCCUAUCCCUUUCCAUCUUCCUGUCCCAUCUCCUUUCAACCCUUCCUAUCCCAUCCCACCUCAUCUCUUCCUAUCCAUAUCAUUCCAUCCUUUCCUAUCCCAUCCCUUCCCAUUCCAUCUCAUUCUUUCCCAUUCUGUCCCAUCCCAUUCCUUAUCCACAGGGCUAGAAGGCAAGAGGGGUUUCCACCCCCAAAACUUCCUAGGCGUAUGACCCUGGGCAAGUUACUUAACCUGGCUGCUUCCCUCAUCUGUAUGUAAAAUGAAUUAUGAGAAAUAGUGAAAAAACAAACAAAAAAACUCUUCUAGCUUGAAAUCUAUCAUCAUUUCACAUCUGGUCUCUCAGACCUUGAGUUUCUCUCUCUCUCUCUCUCUCUCUCUCUCUCUCUCUCUCUCUCUCUCUCUCUCUCUCUCUCUUUCCUGUCUCCCCCUCCUCUUUCUCCCUCUCUCUCUUUCCUAUCACGCCUCUCUCUUUCUCUCUCUCUGGCUGUCUCUAUCUCUCUGUUUCUUUCUGUCUCUCUCUGUCUCUCUCCUGUCUCCCCCUCCUCUUUCUCCCUCUCCCCUCUCCCCUCCCUAUUCUCUCUCUCUCUCUCUCUCUCUCUCUCUCUCUCUCUCUCUCUCUCUCUCUCUCUCUCCCUCCAUUCCAUUUAAAUCAAUAAAAUUCAAGUCCACAAACAUGAAAAGUCCUGCUUUUUUCAAAGCAGUGGGGAUAUAGAUGACAAAACAGCAGGAACAUUUCUGCCUUCAAGGAGCUUACAUUCUAAGGAAAUAUAGCGUGGAUGAAUAGAGGGCAAUACAAGCUAUAUACAAAUAAAUUUCAAGUCUGAGAAUACUAACAACUGGGGAAACAGAAAAGGUUUCAUGUGCAAGGUGGCACCUGAGCUGGGCUAUCAAGGAAGCUAAGAGCUUUAUGAGGCAUUGGUGAGGAAGGAGACUGUUUUACAUGAGGCACCACUUUGGAAAAGGGAUGGAGGUGGGAGAUGAUCAUAUAUGGGGAAGAGCUGGCUUGCUAAUCUGACUUGGUAAAAGAAUUGUGAAGGAGAAUUAAUAGGAAGCAUGACUAGAAUUGUGGUUGAGAGCCAUGCUAUUAUUGACCUUAAAUUCCAGGCAAAGGGGCAGCUCAUUGAGCCAAGUCUGUCCUUAGACACUUUCCAGUCCUAUGACCCUGGGCAAGACACUUAACUCUGAUUGCCUAGCUCUUGCCGAUCUUCUGUCUUAGAAAUGAUACUUGGAGAUGAAGCUUGAGAGCCAGACCAAGAGCUAGGAGGUCCUGGGUUCAAAUUUAACCUCUGGCACUUCCUAGUUUUGUGUGACCCUGGGCAAGUCACUUAACUCUGAUUGCCUAGCCCUUACCCCUCUUCUGUCUUAGAACUGAUACUAAAGCAGAAGGUAAAGUUUUAAGAAAAUUCUAGGCAGGAGAUUGCAUUUUAUUUUAGAAUCAAUAGGGAGAUACUAAAAAUUUUGGAGUAGGCAGAUGACAUGGUCAGAUUUAUGCUUUAGGAACAUCACCAUCAAUUUGGUAUCUGUGGGGAAGAUAGAUUGGAGAGGGAAAGACUGAAAGCAGGAAGAACAAAUAGGAGACUCUCACAGUAUUACUAUGGAAAGGGGAGAAGGGCUUGAGCUAGAGCAGCAAGUUGGCACCAUAAUGCAUAAAGUACUGGGCCUGGGGUCAUGAAGACUCAUCUUCUCGAGUUCAAAUCUAAUCAGACACUUAAUAGCCAAGUGACCCUAGGCAAGCCACUUAACCCUGCUUGCCUCAGUUUCCCCAUCUGUAAAAUAAGCUGGAGGAGAAAAUGACAAACCAUUCUAGUAUUGCCAAGAAACCCCCAAAUGGGGUCAUGAAAAGUCAGACAUGACUGAAACGAUUGAAUGAUACCAAAAAGCUUGAGUUAGCAUAGAAGCUGAGUGAAUAGAGGGGGAAAGGGCUAGGUCUAAGAAAUUUUGGAAAAAGAAUUGACAUACUUUGGUAAAUGAUUGAAUGGUGAGGUGAGGGAUAGGGAAAUGUCACCAAAUGUCACAAGCCUACCCCACCUUCCCUUUCUGUCUGUCUGUCUGUGUAUCUCUCUGUCUGUCUGUCUCUCUGUCUGUC